GCGGCAAAAGCUCAAAUUUGAAAUCUGCGUAAGCCGAGUUGUAAUUUGAAGAUGGCUACUUUGGUAAUGGCUCUUGUCUAUGUUCCUUGGAACAGGACGUCACAGAGGGUGAGAAUCCCGUGCGAUGAGAUGUCCAUUACCGUGUAAAGUGCUUUCGAAGAGUCGAGUUGUUUGGGAAUGCAGCUCUAAGUGGGUGGUAAAUUCCAUCUAAAGCUAAAUAUUGGCGAGAGACCGAUAGCGAACAAGUACAGUGAUGGAAAGAUGAAAAGAACUUUGAAAAGAGAGUGAAAAAGUACGUGAAAUUGUUGAAAGGGAAGGGCUUGAGAUCAGACUUGGUAUUUUGUAUGGCUUGCUUUCGGGCGGGUCCUCUGCAGUUUACUGGGCCAGCAUCGGUUUGGGUGGCAGGAUAAUAGCGAAGGAAUGUGGCUCUACUUCGGUGGAGUGUUAUAGCCUUUGUUGAUACUGCCUGCCUAGACCGAGGACUGCGUCUUUUGACUAGGAUGCUGGCAUAAUGAUCCUAAGCCGCCCGUCUUGAAACACGGACCA
rnacentral:rRNA from 1 species